GAGGGGGGUGCUAGCGUUAUUCGGAAUUAUUGGGCGUAAAGGGUGCGUAGACGGCACAUUAAGUCAAUCGGUUUAAAAUUUACCCCCGGGCCCAACCCGGGGGGCAAGCGGCAGAUACUGAUGUGCUAGAGGGUGGAAGAGAGAAGUGGAAUUCUCGGAGUAGCGGUCAAAUGCGUAGAUCUCGAGAGGAACACCGAUGGCGAAGGCAGCUUCUUGGUCCACUCCUGACGUUGAGGCACGAAAGCGUGGGGAGCAAACAGGAUUAGAUACCCUGGUAGUCCACGCCGUAAACGAUGAUCACUAGACGUUAGCCUCGUUUAACGGGGUUAGUGUCGUAGCUAACGCGUUAAGUGAUCCGCCUGGGGACUACGGUCGCAAGACUA
rnacentral:rRNA from 1 species